CGCGUGAGAUUUAGCAUGAGUAAAAAAAGCAAAUCUCGAAGAAGAACUCGUUAACUUGAACAAGUGUCUCUUAAAGAAAGACAUUAAAGAAUGCUCUGUCAUGUUCGCCUUAAGUAAAGAAUGAAGAAAGUGUUUAAAAUCCAUUAGACGCGGAAGAGGUACUCUUAAACUAUUUAGUUUAGCACUCUUCUCACUCAUUAGGAGACAAACAUUAGUUUCAUGGUGAAGUAAAAGGAAUUUUUUAUCAGCUGUGAUGAUGAUAGUAAAAUGCAAUGAUAUGAAUAUGAGGUAACUAUUACACAUUAAAAAUUUGGACAUUCAAUACAAUUGUGAACCUGUUUUCAUAAGUUGAACGUGUAAAUUACAUUCUGCGCCUGUAGGGUGCUACAUGCUCAUUGCGAUGAAAAAUGAAAUGAAGAAAUGCUGUUUAAAAAAAGUAAAGAUUGAACCGUUUUGUUUAGAAACACUUGGACGCUACGGGAGGCACUAGCUUUGAGUGGUUUUCUUAGGAAUAUCGUUAUAUGUAAACUUUUCAUAAUUGCUAUACUAAAAAAUCUGGGUAAUGGCACGCAAGCGCCAGAAAAAAUUACGUGCAUGUAAUCACAUUAGGUUUUGCUUUGUAUCUUUCUAGCGCGAUAGAAAACACACUUAUUGAACUGUUCAACUUUUGCAAUAUUUUGUUAAAAUAUCCUCAAAGUAGGUUCUGUUAACUUAGUAAAACCUAAGAGAAGUUACGUGAUGAGUUAAGAUAACAUGCAAACGAAAUUGAGAAUUGAUAGGUAGAUUGUAAUUAGUGAAUCUGAGUGUCUUAAAUUUCGUCAGCAUCAUCGUCAUUAUCAUAAGAGCUAGGCAAUGUUAAUGGAUGGAAAACAAAGCACACUUAGGCUUCGGUUUAUUCAUUGCAAAUUUCUGAUAUUGUUCCAGUUUAAACGUUAAAACCCAGACGAUAUAUGUUAAAACAUAUUUCUCCGAGCUAGCUUUCGUAUCCUCACGAAGUCUAAGAUCAAUUUGGAGUCGAAACAAGGCGCACAGAGUGUUAUGGGCAUUCGAAAAGGCUGUAGCAGUCUCACGUUCUGUCCGUGAAGUACUGCGUUCCCUUUUUUCCCGCUCUUUCUUAGACAACACGUACUAGUAGAAAAAGAAGAGCGACGAAAGGCUUAUGACUUCUUGCUAUCAAAUUACGUUUUUCAGCUUUUCAAGUCAUAAAUAUUUGGAGUUUCUCAGAUAAAUUUCAGAUUACGACAGCUUGAAGACUUAAGCGAGACAAACUGCGUCUUCUUGGUAGAGAUGAGAUUAAUUGACCGCGGGGAUGAAGCUGACCAAGAAUUAGACUUCAAAAGAAUUCGCCGGCUACAAACGUCCUCACCAAGAUGACAUGUGAUUAUAAUCGGAGUUAUAGAAAAACUUAUUGCGCGGUAUGGUUUUGCAUCAGAAAGGAUUUAUAUCUUAUUGUCAGAAGAAGCUGUUAUUGUCGCUGCUGUUGCUUUUUUAUCAACUGGAUCAGAUAAGAUGUGGCAAAACAACUCCAAUCUCCAAUUGAGAGAUCGAAUGCUGCGUUUCUCAGACUUGCAUAGGAUUUUAAACUUAUUAAUAUGGGGUUUCUCGUUAACUUAAAAACGUAGAUCUUUAA